rnacentral:rRNA from 1 species
GUUGUUAGACUGUACACUGAUUGUCACCAGGCCUCUACUGAGCUCAAAAGCUAAGCAGAGUCCUCCUUAGUACUGGGAGAGGAGAUCACCUGGGAAUAUCAGGUGCUGUAGGCU